rnacentral:lncRNA from 1 species
AGGAAGAGGGCUGGGUCUCACCUGGAGCCCUUGGGCUGCAGUUGAGGCUUCAGAGAGGGCUGGGAAGUCAUGAAUCGCUGGCCUGCUCCUCCCACAGUCUUCCCCAGCUGGAGCAAUGCUGUCCACUAAAUGCUACGAUGCCAUGAUCUCGAUCUGCACUGUCCAGAGGUGGCUGGGGGAACCACAAGCUACAGGCUGAGGGAGAGAAGAUCUGAGUCAGAGAGGAGUUCUGGAGAAACCAAGCGCAUCCCCCUCAACAUGAACUCCAGUCAAGAUUGGUCAGGUGCAGUGGCUUAUGCCUGUAAUCCCAGCUGAGGCAGGAGGAUCGCUUGAGCCCAGGAGUUUGAGACCAGCCUCGCCCACAUCUUCCAUCAGAGGAUCCCACGAAAACAGUGCCAAAGAGAAUUCAGAACUACGUCCACUGGUCCAGUAACCCAUGGUUCCCACAGCAGGUGUCUCCCUCAACCCAACCUGGACGGGGGGCCACCUGGAUUGACAUUCGUCAUCUCUUCCACUGGACCGUGAGCUCCUUGAGGGCAGAUAAGAAAACUGAGGCUCAGAACGGGAAGUUCAUUGCUCAUCAUCAAACAUCCAGGAAAUGGUGGAGCCUGAAUGGGAACUCAGCUUCCAACAUGGCGUGGAUGUGGCCCAUCCCUUGGUGGCCUGGCUGGGUCUAUCUUAUGACAGUACGAGAUUGAAUGUUGGAGUGCCUUGCAGAAGAGAGAGAAAAUGUUGCUAAAACUUCAGGGGAAUGACUGGU